rnacentral:rRNA from 1 species
UUAAGUGACUAAGCGUACACGGUGGAUGCCUGGGCAGUCAGAGGCGAUGAAGGACGUACUAACUUGCGAUAAGCGCAGAUAAGGCAGUAAGAGCCGUUUGAGUCUGCGAUUUCCGAAUGGGGAAACCCAACUGCAUAAGCAGUUACUGUUAACUGAAUACAUAGGUUAACAGAGCAAACCGGGGGAACUGAAACAUCUAAGUACCCCGAGGAGAAGAAAUCAACCGAGAUUCCGGUAGUAGCGGCGAGCGAACCUGGAUUAGCCCUUAAGCACUCGGUGAAGUAGGUGAACAAGCUGGAAAGCUUGGCGAUACAGGGUGAUAGCCCCGUAACCGACGCUUCAUCGAGCGUGAAAUCGAGUAGGGCGGGACACGUGAUAUCCUGUCUGAAUAUGGGGGGACCAUCCUCCAAGGCUAAAUACUCCUGACUGACCGAUAGUGAACCAGUACCGUGAGGGAAAGGCGAAAAGAACCCCUGUGAGGGGAGUGAAAUAGAACCUGAAACCGUGUACGUACAAGCAGUAGGAGCACCUUCGUGGUGUGACUGCGUACCUUUUGUAUAAUGGGUCAGCGACUUAUAUUCAGUGGCAAGGUUAACCGUAUAGGGGAGCCGUAGCGAAAGCGAGUCUUAACUGGGCGCUCAGUCUCUGGAUAUAGACCCGAAACCGGGUGAUCUAGCCAUGGGCAGGUUGAAGGUUGAGUAACAUCAACUGGAGGACCGAACCGACUAAUGUUGAGAAAUUAGCGGAUGACUUGUGGCUAGGGGUGAAAGGCCAAUCAAACUCGGAGAUAGCUGGUUCUCCCCGAAAGCUAUUUAGGUAGCGCCUCGGACGAAUACUACUGGGGGUAGAGCACUGUUAAGGCUAGGGGGUCAUCCCGACUUACCAACCCUUUGCAAACUCCGAAUACCAGUAAGUACUAUCCGGGAGACACACGGCGGGUGCUAACGUCCGUCGUGGAGAGGGAAACAACCCAGACCGCCAGCUAAGGUCCCAAAGUAUUGCUAAGUGGGAAACGAUGUGGGAAGGCUCAGACAGCUAGGAUGUUGGCUUAGAAGCAGCCAUCAUUUAAAGAAAGCGUAAUAGCUCACUAGUCGAGUCGGCCUGCGCGGAAGAUGUAACGGGGCUAAGCAAUACACCGAAGCUGCGGCAAUGUCUUUUAGACAUUGGGUAGGGGAGCGUUCUGUAAGCCGUUGAAGGUGAAUCGUAAGGUUUGCUGGAGGUAUCAGAAGUGCGAAUGCUGACAUGAGUAACGACAAAGGGGGUAAAACCUCCUCGCCGGAAGACCAAGGGUUCCUGUCCAACGUUAAUCGGGGCAGGGUGAGUCGACCCCUAAGGUGAGGCCGAAAGGCGUAAUCGAUGGGAAACGGGUUAAUAUUCCCGUACUUCUGACUAUUGCGAUGGGGGGACGGAGAAGGCUAGGUGGGCCAGGCGACGGUUGUCCUGGUUCAAGUGCGUAGGCUUGAGAGUUAGGUAAAUCCGGCUCUCUCUAAGGCUGAGACACGACGUCGAGCUGCUACGGCAGUGAAGUCAUUGAUGCCAUGCUUCCAGGAAAAGCCUCUAAGCUUCAGAUAGUCAGGAAUCGUACCCCAAACCGACACAGGUGGUCGGGUAGAGAAUACCAAGGCGCUUGAGAGAACUCGGGUGAAGGAACUAGGCAAAAUGGUACCGUAACUUCGGGAGAAGGUACGCUCUUGAUGGUGAAGUCCCUCGCGGAUGGAGCUGACGAGAGUCGCAGAUACCAGGUGGCUGCAACUGUUUAUUAAAAACACAGCACUGUGCAAAAUCGCAAGAUGACGUAUACGGUGUGACGCCUGCCCGGUGCCGGAAGGUUAAUUGAUGGGGUUAGCGCAAGCGAAGCUCUUGAUCGAAGCCCCGGUAAACGGCGGCCGUAACUAUAACGGUCCUAAGGUAGCGAAAUUCCUUGUCGGGUAAGUUCCGACCUGCACGAAUGGCGUAAUGAUGGCCACGCUGUCUCCACCCGAGACUCAGUGAAAUUGAAAUCGCUGUGAAGAUGCAGUGUACCCGCGGCUAGACGGAAAGACCCCGUGAACCUUUACUACAGCUUGGCACUGAACAUUGAACCUACAUGUGUAGGAUAGGUGGGAGGCUAUGAAGACGUGACGCCAGUUGCGUUGGAGCCGUCCUUGAAAUACCACCCUUGUAUGUUUGAUGUUCUAACUUAGACCCAUUAUCUGGGUUGAGGACAGUGCCUGGUGGGUAGUUUGACUGGGGCGGUCUCCUCCCAAAGAGUAACGGAGGAGCACGAAGGUGGGCUAAUCACGGUUGGACAUCGUGAGGUUAGUGCAAUGGCAUAAGCCCGCUUAACUGCGAGAAUGACGGUUCGAGCAGGUGCGAAAGCAGGUCAUAGUGAUCCGGUGGUUCUGUAUGGAAGGGCCAUCGCUCAACGGAUAAAAGGUACUCCGGGGAUAACAGGCUGAUACCGCCCAAGAGUUCAUAUCGACGGCGGUGUUUGGCACCUCGAUGUCGGCUCAUCACAUCCUGGGGCUGAAGUCGGUCCCAAGGGUAUGGCUGUUCGCCAUUUAAAGUGGUACGCGAGCUGGGUUUAGAACGUCGUGAGACAGUUCGGUCCCUAUCUGCCGUGGGCGUUGGAAGAUUGAAGGGGGCUGCUCCUAGUACGAGAGGACCGGAGUGGACGAACCUCUGGUGUUCGGGUUGUGUCGCCAGACGCAUUGCCCGGUAGCUAAGUUCGGAAUUGAUAAGCGCUGAAAGCAUCUAAGCGCGAAGCGAGCCCUGAGAUGAGUCUUCCCUGAUACUUUAAGUAUCCUAAAGGGUUGUUCGAGACUAGAACGUUGAUAGGCAGGGUGUGUAAGCGUUGUGAGGCGUUGAGCUAACCUGUACUAAUUGCCCGUGAGGCUUAACCAU